UCCAAAUAAAUAGAUUCACCCUUAAUUAUGUCCUGAAGCCUGAUAUUAAAGGGAAAAUGCUGGUCCCUGCCCAGACUGGACAACGUUGAGUAGAACCAGACAAGGCUUUAUUAGAGACCAAAGCAUGACAGAACCGGUGCCAGAAAGAAGUUAACCUGGAUCCUCAAAGGAAUUAGGAGAAGAUGUUUAAAGGCCUGAAUCACUCAGCACAGAGCCCACAGUGGGGUGUGAGGACAGGGCCAUUUUGAGAACUGGUCAUCUGCAGCAGCAUCAGCUCAGUCCA